GGGCGAAUGGUCUAGGGGUAUGAUACUCCCUUCGCAUUUCUAAGAACAACUAGAAUAUCCGCGUCUGGGAGGGGUCCGGGGUUCAAUUCCCCGUUCGUCCA